AUAUGAGCAUCGGGACGUCAACAAAGAACAGAAGACUUGAGAUCUGAGCACCAGUGGACAGUGAGGACUAUGGAAGAGAAGAUGUGAUGGCUUUGUGUGGAAAGCUGCUGACGCCAGCCUGUGUCCCUCAUCAGUCUCUCCAGCCAGCACCCAGCUAUUCUUCCAUCUUGCAGAUGAAAAGACUUUGAUAUCACCUGGACACAGCAGGAACCUACUCCAGGGUCCUGUUUGUGGACUUCAGCUCCGCCUUCAACACCAUCAUCCCGGCUCUGCUGCAGGACAAGCUCUCCCAGCUGCACGUGCCCGACUC